AAUGCAGUACUGACUCCACUGUAGCAGCACAAUCCCACCUUGCAAGGAUAAAACUAACCAAUUUCAAAAGGACACAGUUUUAAGAACUAAUUUUAGUGACUUUAUUUGUCUAAAUAAAUCUGUCCAGUUAAGCAAUAUUAAAGCAGUUUUAUAUUCCUAAGAUCAUGUGCUCAAGUACUUUGUAUUUACCCUUAACAAGAUAAUGAACUGAGUGCCUUGGUAGAGCAGGAAGGAGUAGACACAUUAGAUAGGAUAAAAUUAGAGAAAUGAGGUCCAAAAUUGAUGCCAAUCUGUGACCAUAAUCUUCCAAUCCUCUCCAGAUGUGGGAGUGAUGAAUUAUGAUUUGCAAAUGAACCUGGUAACUACAGGCCAGGAAGUCUAACAUCAGCAGUGAAAAGAACUACUAGAGCUUAUUGUCAUGGACAAAAUUCUCACCUGGAGAAAGCACUGGUUAAUAAGAGCUCUUUUGAAGAGUCAUAUUCGACACAAAACUAACUUUCUCUCUCUCCACAGACGCUGCCAGACCUGUUGAGUAUUUCCAACACUUUAUUAAUGAGGUGUUCAGCUCCCCGAGGCAACUCUCUGCCUUCCAGGAACUUUCAUUAAGCGCUUGCCCGUGCUGACGUCAGCACCCAUCCUCCUCCCUACCCCCACCCCGGCAGCGCUGAGGAAUUCAGUGCGCAUGUCAUGCUAGCUGCCUGUUAAUUGGCCAGCUAGUGUGAAAUUGCGGUCAGGGACCGAUCAAGGUCGGCGCUCUGUUCCCUGGCCGAUCCUGGAACUGCCGAUCGCGCCCAUCUGCUGACCUAGAACUAGGGGAUACAGUUUAAUAAUAAGAGGUCUCCCUUUUAAGACUGAGGUGAGGAGAAAUUUUCUCUUGAGGGUUCUUAGUCUGUGGAAUUCUCUUCUCCAGGAGAGCAGUGGAGGCUGUUAUUGAAUUUUUUCAAGGCAAAGUUAGACAUACUGGGGAGUCAAGGGUUAUGGGGGUAGACAGUGGAGUUGAGACUAGCCAUGAAUGGUAGAGCAGGCUUGAAGGGCCUAGUGGCUCACUCCUGCUCCAAGUCCUAUGCUCUUCUGUUCCCAAAACUCUUUGGAACUCCAUUUCUGGUUUUUCACCAGAACCAGUAUCCUGUUCUACCCUUUUUUAGGUUGAAAGUGGACAACCUCACAUUUGCCUACAUUGUGAAUUGGCAAACUGACAAAUGGAUUGCAAUGUAUUAAUAUAUUUGUAAUUUUAUGCUUCCCAUGCUGACUGUCAUUGGCAAAUCUGGACAAUUCAUCAUUUAACUUUUUAAUAAAUACUGUGAAAAACAC